rnacentral:tRNA from 1 species
ACCAGUGUGGCUCAGUGGAAAGAGCCUGGGCUUCGGAGUCAGAGGUCAUGGGUUCGAAUCCCGGCUCUGCCA